UUUUUUGCUAGUUAAUAAGUCAGAGUUGUCUUCUUGGUCUGGCUUCAAACCUCAGUCCUCAAAUCUCAGCCUCUUGAGUAGUUAGGAUUUUAGGUAUAAGUCACUGCUAACCCAGCUCAUCAGCAUUUUUGAGAAACUGUGCUAAUGACAUUGCCAAAUUGGGGUACUCUGGUAGUAUCAGGCCAUGCACAUGUGCUUUGAGAGAGAUUUUUUUAAAAGUAAUUUACUGUUUUGUUAUUACAGAGUUGAUGAACAGAGGGAUUACAAAUACGAGUCAGGUAAUGAGUCCAUUUCCUUUCAUACAAUGUCUUCUGUUCCCAAUCCUUCCCUCUUUCCCAUUCCCUCCCUCC